rnacentral:piRNA from 1 species
UUAUUGCAACAUUUGGCAUGCGGUGU